UAUUUCUUGUACCUCUUGCAUCAUGCUUUAGCUAGUACACACAAGCGAGGAGGACCAGAGCUUGUCACCCCGAAACCUGGUGAGCUACUUCAAGACAGCCUGUUUCAGGGCGAACCCGUCUCUGUGGCAAAAGAGUGGGAAGAUCUUUGAGUAGAAGUGACAGACUUAUCGAACCCGGUUAUAGCUGGUUGUCUGGAAAAUGGAUAUCAGUUCAGCCCUCUCGCUUCUUUGCAGCUGAGAGGAGUUAGUCGAAGGGGGUACAGCCCCUUUGAAAAAAGAUACAACUUUCUAAGGAGGAUAAAGAUUAUGAUAACUAAGGAGUAGCAUCUUAGUGGGCCUGAUAGCAGCCACCUGAAUAGAAAGCGUUAUAGCUCAAGCGCAAUAUCCUGAUAAUGCUCUCCAAAGCCCCGAUAAUUAUACCAGACCAUUCUACGAGAUACGGUAGAAGAGAACAUGCUAAUAUGAGUAAUAAGAAAGGGCUUUCUCCCGACACACACGUACAUCGACAUGGACAACCCACCGAAAAUUAACGGACCCAACAGAAGAGGGCAUUGAUAAACAACUGGAAAAACAAUCCCCGUUACCCCCACACUGGUGUGUCGAAGAGAAAGACUAAAAGAAAGAGGAGGAACUCGGCAAAUAAGCCUCGCCUGUUUACCAAAAACAUCGCCUCUUGCUAGAAUAAGAGGUCGAGCCUGCCCAGUGACACUAUGUUCAACGGCCGCAGUAUCUUGACUGUGCUAAGGUAGCGCAAUCACUUGUCUCUUAAAUGGAGACCUGUAUGAAAGGCAUGACGAGGGCUUAGCUGUCUUCUUUUUCCAGUCAGUGAAAUUGAUCUCCCCGUGCAGAAGCGGGGAUAUAAACAUAAGACGAGAAGACCCUGUGGAGCUUAAGACACAGGGACAGAUCAUGCUAAAAACCCCACCCAGGGAAAAACUUACUGACACCUGUCCCAAUGUCUUUGGUUGGGGCGACCAUGGGGAAAGCCCAACCCCCAUGCAGACAAGGAGCACUCCUACAAACCAGAGCCCCAGCUCUAGUUAACGAGACAUUCGACUUAAACUGAUCCGGGAUAACCGAUCAACGAACAGAGUUACCCCAGGGAUAACAGCGCUAUCCCCUUCAAGAGCCCAUAUCGCCAAGGGGGUUUACGACCUCGAUGUUGGAUCAGGACAUCCUAAUGGCGCAG
rnacentral:rRNA from 1 species